AGCGAACGCUGGCGGCAGGCCUAACACAUGCAAGUCGAGCGCCGUAGCAAUACGGAGCGGCAGACGGGAGAGUAACACGUGGGAACGUGCCCUUUGGUUCGGAACAACCCAGGGAAACUUGGGCUAAUACCGGAUAAGCCCUCACGGGGAAAGAUUCAUCGCCGAAGGAUCGGCCCGCGUCUGAUUAGCUAGUUGGUGGGGUAAUGGCCCACCAAGGCGACGAUCAGUAGCUGGUCUGAGAGGAUGAUCAGCCUCACUGGGACUGAGACACGGCCCAGACUUCUACGGGAGGCAGCAGUGGGGAAUAUUGGACAAUGGGCGCAAGCCUGAUCCAGCCAUGCCGCGUGGGUGAUGAAGGCCCUAGGGUUGUAAAGCCCUUUCGGCGGGGAAGAUAAUGACGGUACCCGCAGAAGAAGCCCCGGCUAACUUCGUGCCAGCCGCCGCUGUAAAAC
rnacentral:rRNA from 1 species